rnacentral:rRNA from 1 species
GACGAACGCUGGCGGCGUGCUUAACACAUGCCAGUCGAACGGGCCUGUCUUCUUUUUUGGGGGGUGGGUUGAGUGGCGAACGGGUGAGUAUCACGUGAGUAACCUGCCCUUCGGUCCUGGAUAACCGCUUGAAAGGGCGGCUAAUACGGGGUGGUCCGGUUGGUCCGCAUGGGCUGGUCGGGAUAGAUUCACUGUUUUUGGUGUUUCGGCGGGGGAUGGGCUCGCGGCCUAUCAGCUUGUUGGUGGGGUGAUGGCCUACCAAGGCGGUGACGGGUAGCCGGCCUGAGAGGGUGGGCGGCCACACUGGGACUGAGAUACGGCCCAGACUCCUGCGGGAGGCAGCAGUGGGGGGUAUUGCACAAUGGGCGGAAGCCUGAUGCAGCGACGUCGCGUGAGGGAUGGAGGCCUUCGGGUUGUGAACCUCUGUUUCCGGUGGUGAAGGCCCUGUCCGUGUGGUGGGGUUGACGGUAGCCGGGGAUGAAGCGCCGGCUAACUACGUG